rnacentral:lncRNA from 1 species
AUUUCUCUUAUUUUCUUACUUCUUACAUCCAACCCACCGUAAAAUGUUGUUGAUUAUACCCCCAAAUCUAUAGAAUCACUCCAACAUGACCCAAAUCUGGGUCAUCAUAAUCUUUCUCUACUAUUGGGAUAGACUUAACAAGUCACCGUGUUUUCACUCUUGUCACUUUGUAAUCAAUUAUUCCUUGAGCAGCCAGAGUGAACUUGAACUUUUAUAAAUGAAAAUGCUUCCUGGAAGCAUAAAGGAAAAUUUGCUCCAUUGGACAAGAGCUGGUCAAGCUUCCUCGUGUGUCACAAUUGCUACCAUGCCAUUGGCCAACACAUGCGUGAGUCCAAGCCCAAAACAGACAGGAGGGGCACACCGAGCAUACAAAAGGAAUUACGGAUACCUUUUGUUUGAAUGUUAGGACCCUUAUGCUAGCUCAGGGAUUGGUAAACUACAGCUUGAGAGCCAAAUCAAGCCCACUGCCUGAUUUCGUAAAUAACAUUUUGUUGGAACACGGCAGCACACACUUAUUUUUGUAUGUUUGAUGGCUAAUUUUGUGCUACAACAGCAGAAUUGAGUGGUUGUGACAGAUACUGUCCCGUCACAAAAUAUUUCCUAUCUUGCUCUUUAUAGAAAUAGUUUGCCAGCGUCUGCGAUGGCUGGCCCCUCUAUCUGUAGUGCAGUUCCCUCAACUCUGCAUAGUUUUUUUUUCUUUUUUCUUCAUUUUAUUCGGAUUCCUGGCAAAAUAUAUUGCCCUAUAGAGAUUUGGUUGAACAGUCAAUAUAAAGCUACUCUCUAUCCACUAUCUAAUUUAAAUCUAUGCAUAGGAUAUUUAAUUAUAUACUUGUAUGUUACAUUUAACAUUUUAAUUAUUCAUUUAUCUAUGUAUUAUCUCUUCUUCUUGAAAUGUAAGUUCUCCUACAGAAGAAAGUUUUUGGUCUUCAUAACUUCUUAUAACAAUGCCAGACACAUAGGAGAUUCUCAAGAAAUAUCUAUUGAAUUAAUGGAUAAAUAAAUAGAAUGAACAUAACAACCAUCUCAGAGGACACAUGCUGCUUUAAUCCAAGUGACUUCUUUAGGUAUGUAUUAAAGAAGCAAUAUAGGAGGCAAAAUAAUUAAUUAAAUGAUAAUUUGAAUAAACAAAUUGGUUAACUGAUAAACUAAACAGAUUCCCAAAUUCCGGAAAUGUCUGGAAAUUUAACACCAUAAUGAAAGUUAGAAAUGCUCUCACAGGCACCUUAAAAUGUUUGCUAAAAGUUUGCUUCAGUCAUUUAAAACAUGGUAAGGUAACAGGCAUCAAGUCCAGAUUCAGUGGCUCUUCAACUUAAUUGAAAGUGAAAUCCUCUUGAUGUAGAGAAUCAAUCUGCAAAUCAACAGCUGACCUAGGUGGCUCAGAUUCACAGACAUUGACAAAAUGUCAAAGUGACAGUAAAAUCAUCUUGGCUUUCACGUAUGUCCUGAGCUGUGAUAGAUUUGAGUCAUUUAAUUGUUACACUGUUAAGCCCUGAGGUAAAAUCAUUGACUCCAAAGCAGUAGAUCUAUUCCAAAGAACGCAAUCUGGAAAAGCAAGUCACGCUUUCUGUUCAAGAAUACUAUAAAAGUUUAGUCUCACUGUGCACAAAAUGAGCUAGGCUGUAACUCAUUUAUUCAUUCAUUCAUUCAUCUGGCUUAAACAUCAAAAACACAGAUGUAGAAGAACAUUCCUGCCUCUAAAUAUAUUUGAACCACAGAUUGUUGACAGCUUAGCAUCAUAUUCUCUCCCUUUUGUAUUUUCCUCUGCAAUUGAAGAAAAUUAAAUAACAUACGUGGUUGGUAAAAGAACGUGACAUGCAUGCCAGAGCUGAGUGAGAAGCUAAAACAAAUCAAGAAUCCUGCCAUUUUGGUGAAGUUUCUAGGUAUGUGGUGAUGUGGGGCAUGUCACACAUUUUGAAGAAGAUAUCUUCUUCAAAAUGAGGGAUAGAUGCUGAAAUUUCCAAUCUCAUUGCUGAGCAAGAGGCACAAUGCUUGAUAUUUUUGGAGUGUAUGUAGGGAACAUGUAUUUUGGUGUGGUGAAUAAUCACUUAUACUAUGAGAAGCAAGAGAAGAUUCUGAACUAGGCUAAGACUCAGUGAACAUUGAUUUUUCAUUUAGGCCUUGCUAUGGUUUGAAUGUGUCCUCCCUAAAGCAUGUGUUGAAAACAUAAUCCCCAAUGCAAUAGUGCUGAGAAGUGGGGUCUAUUGAGAGGUGUUGAGGUCAUGUGGGCUCAGCCACCUUUGAUGGAUUAAUGCUGAUUACAAAAGGGCUUAAGGCAUCUAGUUCUGUCUCUCUUUCCCUCACAUGUUCCUAUUCUCACAUGUGUGCACAUGUUCCUAUUCUCUUGCCCUUCUGCCUUCUGCAUGAGAUGGCACAGCAAGCAAGGCCUCACCAGAGAUGGGCCCCUCAACUUUGCACUUCUCAGCCUCCAGAAUUGUAAGCCAAAUAAAUGUCUGUUCCAGUCUCAAAUAUUCUGUUACAUCAGCCCAAAGCAGUCUUAAACAAGUCUUAUAACCAGGAGAUUCACUGGUGGUCAGUGUGACCCAAGCAGAUGUGGAUCCUUCUGUCAAGCCACAAUUGUGGGAUCACAGGGCACACUCCCUCUUCUGAAUAUGAUUUUACUGCGAAACUUUUGUUACAUAGCAUCUGGCAUACUGCCAGGUCCUGGUUAAGAUUAAUCUUUGUCUCAGAGAUACCAAGCUUAUGGAAAAUGAGCUGUCCAUCAAGAAUGGAGUGUUAUCUGAUCUAAUCUACAAAACUAUAGACUUGGCCAUGGCAACAGAAUUUCAUCGCCAAAGUAGAAAUCAUAUAUAUGGUGUUGGGUUUCACUAGAUACUAUAGACAGAAGUAAGUUGCAUGCCUUAGAUUUCUAUGGUUCCUAAACCACCAAAAUCGCCAUCUUUUCUUCUAUCCAUACGUAAUGUGACCUUGGGAAUUUUC